GAAAGAGAAGUGGGUGGGUGGGUUUACUUAUAGAUUGACAUCUUCCAAAUCCAUUCAGAAGCAGGAACCGUUGUAGUCUCCUCAAACAACGGCCGGUGCCUGAAUUGGAGGUGCGUACCUGUAAAUGGCAGCCAGGGCGGCCAGCGGGUGAUUGGGACCGCAGCCGCUUCAUCUCAUUCCCUACUUCCUUCCCCUCCAAGAGUCCAGCGACAACUUCACCCUCUUUCUUUUCCCUCGCCCCCAUCUUCUGAAGCAGUUGAACUUGCUGCAGCUCUGAAUGAAAGUUGAAUUUCCCUCGAAUCUCACAUAGUACUUGUCCAAUAACGAUUUGCAGAAGGCCGAGCGCUUAUGUCGUCUGUAGAUUAGUUUUAGACAACGUGAUCUUGAUCUGGUAGGACUUGAACCCAGGCUCAUUGCUGAAGAAGAGGCCAGACCCGAAACGUUAGCUUUCCUGCCCCUCUGAUGCUGCCUGGCCUGCUGUGUUCAUCCAGCUCUACACCUUGUUAUCUCAGACUCCAGCAUUGGCAGUUCCGACUAUCUCAUUCAGAGAUUAGUGGUACAGUGGGUAGUGUCCCUGCCUCUGAGCCAGAAGAUUCUGGUCACACUCGAUAGCCACAGAAAAUGUGUUCAUAAUGCAGCUGAAUAGUGUAAGUAUCAACUUGUAAAUCCUUCCAACAUACAUUACAAUGGCAGGUGGUAAUAGCAGGAGAGACUCAUGGUCUGCUAAGUGAUACAAAGUUAUAGAAAUUCUAACUCCAUCUGACUGAUUCUCUCACGACUGGAUGGCUGUUGUGAAUCACAUUGGUGGCAUGGGCUUCAAUCAGUGCUCUGGCUGGUAGAUUUUGGACCUGCCUUGUUCACCUACCCAUAUGAAGAUCAUGCACCUCUGGAUUGGACCCUCCUUCGAGGAUGAACACAAGAAGUAGAACGAUUUCCAUCUGUAGCUGAUUUUUUCUGAUUUCAGCCAGACUUGAGUUAUAUUUCCAAACCAGUAAAUUAUACAGAUAGUAAAAAAGUCAUUUAUUUUUUAGGGAGCAAUACGUUUUCCACAAUCCUGAGAAUUCAGUACAAUAUCCUCACAAGACAUUAUGAAAUCAUGCACGUGUGUUUAAAAAGUUUUCUACAUCUGUAUCUUGGUGCAUAAGAGCCUUUCAAACUAGAAAUCUGUUUGUGAAUUAAUUCUUUUUUCAAUGUAAUUUCAUCAAACAAUGUCUCUGCAUUUGGUGUUUAAUCAGUUCAGAUCUGUUACACACAUUCCCAAGUCUACCUCAAAUGCAAAUUCCACUGUCUUUGCUUGAACAAAGCAAUAGUAGUUCAAAUCACAAAUGUUGUCUUGUCAGAACUUGUUGCAUUUAGGACAUUUUAUGGAUUCACUAAAUCAGGCAUCUCUCACGCUGUUUUGGCAGUAAUAAUACGUGGGCUUUAAAACCAUCACUGCCAUCCUAAUUGGAUAUGUUACAUGGCUGUUAAUAAAAUGGUCCCAAUUCCAGUUA